UACGUAGGGCGCAAGCGUUGUCCGGAAUUAUUGGGCGUAAAGAGCUCGUAGGCGGCCUGUUGCGUCCGCUGUGAAAUCCCGGGGCUUAACCCCGGGCGUGCAGUGGAUACGGGCAGGCUGGAGGCAGGCAGGGGAGAACGGAAUUCCCGGCGUAGCGGUGAAAUGCGCAGAUAUCGGGAGGAACACCGGUGGCGAAGGCGGUUCUCUGGGCCUGUACUGACGCUGAGGAGCGAAAGCGUGGGGAGCGAACAGG
rnacentral:rRNA from 1 species